CCUACGGGUGGCAGCAGUGAGGAAUAUUGGUCAAUGGCCGAGAUGCUGAACCAUCCAAGCCGCGUGAAGGAAGACGGCCCUAUGGGUUGUAAACCUCUUUUGUCAAGGCACAACAUCCGGCCCGUGUGCCUGACUGAGUGUACCUGAAGAAAAAGCAUCGGCUAACUCCGUGCCAGCAGCCGCUGUAAUACGGAGGAUGCUAGCGUUAUCCGGAUUUAUUGGGUUUAACGGGUGCGUAGGCGGUCUGUUAAGUCAGCGGUAAAAUCGCGGGGCUCAACCCCGGCGAGCCGUUGAAACUGGCAGACUUGAGUUGGCGAGAAGUAUGCGGAAUGCGCGGUGUAGCGGUGAAAUGCAUAGAGAUCGCGCAGAACUCCGAUUGCGAAGGCAGCGUACCGGCGGCAGACUGACGCUGAGGCACGAAAGCGUGGGGAUCGAACAGGAUUAGAUACCCCUGUAGUC
rnacentral:rRNA from 1 species